GCAUGUGAGAGGAGGGAGGAGAGAAGGCAGUAGGAGCAGCUACAGACAUGUGCCCACGGCCCACCCAGUCAGUGUGUGAUAGUGAGUAGAUCUAUCUAUCUAUCGCAUUGGGCAUGGAAUCCUGAUGGUCAGAAUCGAGACAGUCAGAAUGCUGGCAGCAGGAUCCUGACGGUGAAAAUGCAGGCAGUCUUUGCGUGAGCAUGAAUCCCCUGGAAACGAGCAUGAAACCCCUAGCAACAAGCAUAAUUUCUUUAUGAUACCACACUCCCAGAAGUUGUGAAAGAAUGUAGCUGAAGAGUGAGAACACUUCAGGCAUCUUCCAGUUUCUUCUGGAACAAAAUGUUUUCUUUGGGCUUGUGAGAUGUAGGCUCUGUAAAUUGUCUUAAUGUGUACUUCUUGUAAGGAGGAAGCUUGUAAUAAUCGUAGUGUCUUGUCAAACUGAUUAAAUAUACCUGUUGAAACACCUAUAG